rnacentral:lncRNA from 1 species
GAAAGGAAGGAAGGAAGGAAGGAAGAAAGAUAAAAAUGAGACAGAAAUGCAGAGAAUUCCAGAACAUGAAAGGUAACCUCACUGAGCCAUGUGCUGGGUUAUUCUUCUGUGCUUGUGUACAAUGUGUGUGCUUGGCAUCAUGGAAGCUAGAAGAAAACAUGGAAUUUCCUGCAACCACAGUGACAGAUAAUUAUGAGCCACAAUGCUGGGGCUAAAAGUUAAACUUGGGUCAACGGAAAGUGCUCUUAAAAGCUUAACCAUCUCUCUACCCACCCCCCAAGUAAUUUUAUAAGGUAACUAACACUAUUAUAAAAGGUUUUGAAAUACUCACUUCAAUAUGUGAUUUGUUUACAUCACCCGAUAUAGUUAACAUCAAUCGAAAUCAAUAGGAAUGAAACUAAUCACAAUAAGCUUCCCGUG